CCUACGGGAGGCAGCAGUGGGGAAUUUUGGACAAUGGGCGCAAGCCUGAUCCAGCUAUUCCGCGUGUGGGAUGACGGCCUUCGGGUUGUAAACCACUUUUGUAGAGAACGAAAAGUCUGUUGAUAAUACCGAUAGAUGAUGACGGUACUCUAAGAAUAAGCACCGGCUCACUACGUGCCAGCAGCCGCGGUAAUACGUAGGGUGCGAGCGUUAAUCGGAAUUACUGGGCGUAAAGGGUGUGCAGGCGGGUUUGCAAGAUGGAUGUGAAAGCCCCGGGGUUAACCUGGGAAAGCCAUACAUGACUGCAAGACUAGAGUGCGUCAGAGGGGGGUGGAAUUCCAAGUGUAGCAGUGAAAUGUGUAGAUAUUUGGAAGAACACCGAUGGCGAAGGCAGCCCCCUGGGACGCAACUGACGCUCAUACACGAAAGCGUGGGGAGCAAACAGGAUUAGAUACCCUUGUAGUC
rnacentral:rRNA from 1 species